UACGUAGGGGGCAAGCGUUAUCCGGAUUUACUGGGUGUAAAGGGGGCGCAGACGGCGAUGCAAGCCAGGAGUGAAAGCCCGGGGCCCAACCCCGGGACUGCUCUUGGAACUGCGUGACUGGAGUGCAGGAGGGGCAGGCGGAAUUCCUGGUGUAGCGGUGAAAUGCGUAGAUAUCAGGAGGAACACCGGUGGCGAAGGCGGCCUGCUGGACUGCAACUGACGUUGAGGCCCGAAAGCGUGGGGAGCAAACAGG
rnacentral:rRNA from 1 species